rnacentral:rRNA from 1 species
UACAGAGGGUGCGAGCGUUGUUCGGAAUACUGGGCGUAAAGCGCGCGCAGGCGGAUCCUGCAAGUCCGGAGUGAAAUCUCACCGCUCAACGGUGAGGCUGCUUUGGAUACUGCGGAUCUGGAGACCGGUAGAGGCUGGUAGAAUUGCAGGUGUAGCGGUGGAAUGCGUAGAGAUCUGCAAGAAUACCCGUGGCGAAGGCGGCCAGCUGGGCCGGUUCUGACGCUG